GGCGGAGCCGAGCUGCGAUUCACCCAUAGAAGAUAAUGGCUCAGGGCUCACCAGUGCGGGCAGGCCGAGAUCCUGAACUGAGUGAGGACAAGGCCCUUCUGAGAGCGGCUCUUCCUCUGUACACCCCCGAGGUAUCCGUAUCUGCUCACACCUACAGCUGUACAAGUGGUACAAAUCGGGGCAUGAAUGAGGAGAAUGUUCUGUUCAAGCUUCUGUGUUGUAAUCUUAAGAUCUUGUUUACAAUGGGAUUCCAACAGAUCCAGCCCUCACCAAAAGCAAUAGUGCAGGCACAGCAAAGCAAACCGCCGUUAGGAAAAUAAACCAUCCAGCAACCGCAGUGAGUUCGGUAGGACGGAGGCAGAUGGGACCUGAGCUGCUGCAGGAGUUACCCCAGCUGAGCUUCACCUCUGCCCACCAGGAGGAGUCAGCAUCGACACUUGGCUGGCAGUCAAACUAAAUCCAAUCUCUCAUGCCCUGGGUUCCUUUCACUAAGUCUUCCUCCAUGCAGAUGGAGUAAGCUCUGCUGGAGGAACUGCAGCUUUCAGUCUUACAGGGGCUUGCUGCCAUGUCCACUGAGGCUGGGCCAGGACAGCCUGCAGACAGAACACUGCUCCAAGGUGAGGACAGAACUUGGGGCUGGAAAGGAGCACAGAAACCGUAGCAGUCAGCUGAGACCCCUGAUGACUGAAAAUAAGGCAAUAUAGCACCUGUUUCUAAGAAGGACAGAAAGGAUGACCCGAGGAACUACCAACCUGUUAGCCUCACCUCAGUGCUGGGGAAAAUCAUGGAACAGAUCCUCCUGGAAGCUAUGCUAAGGCACAUGGAAGAGAGGGAGGUGAUAUGGGACAACCAGCAUGGCUUCACCAAGGGCAGGUCCUGCCCAGCCAACCUUGUCAUGUUUUAUGACAGCAUAAUCACAUCAUUAUACAAUGGAAGAGCCAUUGGUGUCAUUUAUCUGAGCUUCAUUAAAGCCUUUGGCACAACCCUCCAUAUUUUAUUCUACCAGUAAA